rnacentral:rRNA from 1 species
UACGUUCCCGGGCCUUGUACACACCGCCCGUCACACCACGAAAGUCGGCAACACCCGAAGCCGGUGGCCCAACCCUUUUGGGAGGGAGCUGUCGAAGGUGGGGUCGGCGAUUGGGGUG